rnacentral:rRNA from 1 species
GAUGAACGCUGGCGGCGUGCCUAAUACAUGCAAGUCGAACGGAAGGACGAUAAGAGUUCGCUUUUAAGGGUGGCGGCGGACGGGUGAGUGACGCGUAGAUAGCAUACUUCUUUUUCGGGGAGGAUAACGGAGAAAAAGAGACAAUACCACAUAAUAUGUUCUACCGGAGGGAGCAGGGGUGAAUGGGGCCUUGCCUGACUGAAAGAGCCGAUGUCGGAUUAGCUAGUUGGGGGGGUAAGGGCACACCAAGGCGACGCAACGUAGCUGAUCUGAGAGGAUGAUCGGCCACACUGGAACUGGGACACGGUCCAGACUCCUACGGGAGGCAGCAGUGGGGAAUAUUAGGCAAUGGGCGCAAGCCUGACGCAGCCAUACCGCGUGGGUGAAGAAGGCCUUCGGGUUGUAAAGCCCUUUUGUUGGGAAAGAAAAGCUGCAGAUUAAUACGCCGCCGUUCUGACGGUACCCAAUGAAUAAGCACCGGCUAACUUCGUG